CAAAGUUCCCCCUGUGGAACAACAGUCUCUGUAAUAGCUCCAAAAGAAAACUUCAUGUGCUCAGGAAAAACAAGUCCUGCACUAGCAACAUGGACCAUCCACCUCAAGCAUUUGGCCACCUGUUCUCCAUCAAUGCAGCUACUGCAGUCUUUGCUUUUUUCUGAGGUCUUCAUUCUCAGCUCAUUAGGUUCGGAAUAAUCAUUUAGGGAACUUUCUGACAGUGUAUACCCAUCUAUCUUCCUCAUCAAAAACACAAGACAUUUCAGGAAAACACAUUUGAUAAAUAUUGUUAUAUUGUAAACUGAACCUGAUUCAAUUGAAAAUCAA